AAUAGAUACCCGGGUAGUCCACGCCGUAAACGAUGAGUGCUAAGUGUUAGAGGGUUUCCGCCCUUUAGUGCUGAAGUUAGCGCAUUAAGCACUCCGCCUGGGGAGUACGGCCGCAAGGCUGAAACUCAAAGGAAUUGACGGGGGCCCGCACAAGCGGUGGAGCAUGUGGUUUAAUUCGAAGCAACGCGAAGAACCUUACCAGGUCUUGACAUCCUCUGACAACCCUAGAGAUAGGGCUUCUCCUUCGGGAGCAGAGUGACAGGUGGUGCAUGGUUGUCGUCAGCUCGUGUCGUGAGAUGUUGGGUUAAGUCCCGCAACGAGCGCAACCCUUGAUCUUAGUUGCCAUCAUUAAGUUGGGCACUCUAAGGUGACUGCCGGUGACAAACCGGAGGAAGGUGGGGAUGACGUCAAAUCAUCAUGCCCCUUAUGACCUGGGCUACACACGUGCUACAAUGGACGGUACAAAGAGCUGCAAGACCGCGAGGUGGAGCUAAUCUCAUAAAACCGGUUCUCAGUUCGGA
rnacentral:rRNA from 1 species